UCCCCGGUAGCUCAGUCGGUAGAGCGCCUGACUGUUAAUCAGGAUGUCGCUGGUUCGAGUCCAGCCCGGGGAGCCA
rnacentral:tRNA from 3 species